rnacentral:rRNA from 1 species
GACGAACGCUGGCGGCGUGCUUAACACAUGCAAGUCGAACGCUGAAGCUCAGCUUUUGUUGGGUGGAUGAGUGGCGAACGGGUGAGUAACACGUGAGUAACCUGCCCCCUUCUUUGGGAUAACGCCCGGAAACGGGUGCUAAUACUGGAUAUUCACUGGUCUUCGCAUGGGGGGUGGGUGGAAGGGGUUUUUUGGGGGGGGGAUGGGCCCGCGGCCUAUCGGUUGGUUGGUGGGGGGAUGGCCUACCAAGGCUUUGACGGGUAGCCGGCCUGAGAGGGUGACCGGUCACAUUGGGACUGAGAUACGGCCCAGACUCCUACGGGAGGCAGCAGUGGGGAAUAUUGCACAAUGGGCGCAAGCCUGAUGCAGCGACGCCGCGUGAGGGAUGGAGGCCUUCGGGUUGUGAACCUCUUUCGCUCAUGGUCAAGCCGCAACAAUGGUUGUGGUGAGGGUAGUGGGUAAAGAAGCGCCGGCUAACUACGUG